rnacentral:rRNA from 1 species
AGUAACACGUAAACAACCUGCCUUCAGGAUGGGGACAACAGACGGAAACGACUGCUAAUACCGAAUAAGUUCCAAGGGCCGCGUGGCCCAUGGAAGAAAAGGUGGCCUCUACCUGUAAGCUAUCGCCUGAAGAGGGGUUUGCGUCUGAUUAGCUGGUUGGAGGGGUAACGGCCCACCAAGGCGACGAUCAGUAGCCGGUCUGAGAGGAUGAACGGCCACACUGGAACUGAGACACGGUCCAG